rnacentral:rRNA from 1 species
AACGAACGCUGGCGGCAUGCCUAACACAUGCAAGUCGAACGAGACCUUCGGGUCUAGUGGCGCACGGGUGCGUAACGCGUGGGAACCUGCCCUUAGGUUCGGAAUAACUCCCCGAAAGGGGUGCUAAUACCGGAUAAUGUCUUCGGACCAAAGAUUUAUCGCCUUUGGAUGGGCCCGCGUUGGAUUAGCUAGUUGGUAGGGUAAAAGCCUACCAAGGCGACGAUCCAUAGCUGGUCUGAGAGGAUGAUCAGCCACACUGGGACUGAGACACGGCCCAGACUCCUACGGGAGGCAGCAGUGGGGAAUAUUGGACAAUGGGCGAAAGCCUGAUCCAGCAAUGCCGCGUGAGUGAUGAAGGCCUUAGGGUUGUAAAGCUCUUUUACCCGGGAUGAUAAUGACAGUACGGGAGAAUAAGCUCCGGCUAACUCCGUG